rnacentral:rRNA from 1 species
CGGGGUGAGUAACGCGUGGAAAACCUGCCGUAUACUGGAGGAUAACACUUAGAAAUAGGUGCUAAUACCGCAUAAGCGCACAGCUUCGCAUGAAGUGGUGUGAAAAACUCUGGUGGUAUACGAUGGUUCCGCGUCUGAUUAGCUUGUUGGUGGGGUAAUGGCUCACCAAGGCGACGAUCAGUAGCCGGCCUGAGAGGGUGAACGGCCACAUUGGGACUGAGACACGGCCCAAACUCCUACGGAAGGCAGCAG